CCCGCCCCUGUCGCCAGGUGCCGCCGCCGCCGCCGGUCACAGUUUCUGCCGCCGCUCCCUUUCACCAGCUGAUUCCGCCGCCGCCCCUGAUUUCGCCGGUCAUGUUCUCCCCCGCUGCCCCCGGUCGCCAGCUGAUUUCACCGGUCGCCAGCUGAUUUCACCGGUCGCCAGCUGAUUUCACCGGUCGUCAGCUCCCGCCACCGCCGCCGGUCGCCAGCUCCCGUCGUCGCCGCAGUGUGUCAUCCUCAGCAUCCGGCGCCACUUCACAUCGUUAGCCGCCGGCGCUAUUUCCUAUCCGUACCCAAGCUGCACGCCCUAUCCAUCGUUUCCACCCCCGAUUCGAUGCCCACAGCUGCCGGCCGUGAGGGCCUCCAUCGCAACCGUGUAACUUCCUUCUUCUGAUGCAACCGCGUAAAGGUGGACCUACUGCUGAGGUGACUGUGAUGAGUUUCGAAGGUGGUGAGGGAUCUAUGCUGCGAGGUUCUAUUUGUUUUCAGUGAUUCUUGGCAACGCGCUUUGGAUUCUUUAAAAAAAAACCUUCUUUCUGCAGGCUCUUCAGAAGCUAAUUCACCCUAACAUUGUGAAGCUGAAGGAGGUGACAAUGGAAAAUCAUGAGCUGUUCUUCAUCUUUGAACACAUGCCGUGAGUGUGAUAAUUGGGACCAGUAUCAUAUGGAAUUUGGGAAAAAAAUCAUGCAUCGUCUAAGUGAUGCUUUAUCCAUUGCUGCACCUCAUAAAUUUAAAUCAUUCAAGAAUUGGAGACAUGUGCCAGUCUAGGUUCCCGUCGAGAAGGUCCCACAUGACAGUGUGUUCUUUGCCAUGAAGUUUCUCGAGUUCUAUGAUGGUGUUGGCCAUGGCUCACUUCACACUACCAUUGAUGCUGAUCGAUCAAAAGAGAUGCGUGCUGAGACAUUGUACUACCUCACAUUUCAUAAGCAGAACAAGGUGGCCACUUUCCCAGACGAAAUGCUUCAAUACCGUCGAGAUGAUCAUCACCCUUUUUUCUAUUAAUUUUUUGAUGUCUCAUUGCAUCCUUUCUCUGUUUCACUUUAUUUUCCAUUUUUACCUGUACAUAUUCCACAUUCUAUGUCUACUUGCUUAAUAUACAGAAAUGGCUCACGAGGUAUU